rnacentral:rRNA from 1 species
AUACGUAGGGGGCGAGCGUUGUCCGGAAUUACUGGGCGUAAAGAGCUCGUAGGUGGUUUGUCGCGUCGUCUGUGAAAUUCCGGGGCUUAACUCCGGGCGUGCAGGCGAUACGGGCAUAACUUGAGUACUGUAGGGGAGACUGGAAUUCCUGGUGUAGCGGUGAAAUGCGCAGAUAUCAGGAGGAACACCGGUGGCGAAGGGGGGUCGCUGGGCAGUAACUGACGCUGAGGAGCGAAAGCAUGGGUAGCGAACAGGAUUAGAUCCCCUGGUAGUCCAUGCCGUAAACGGUGGGCGCUAGGUGUAGGGGUCUUCCACGACUUCUGUGCCGUAGCUAACGCAUUAAGCGCCCCGCCUGGGGAGUACGGCCGCAAGGCUAAAACUUAAAGGAAUUGACGGGG